rnacentral:rRNA from 1 species
AGAGUUUGAUCAUGGCUCAGGACGAACGCUGGCGGCGUGCUUAACACAUGCAAGUCGAACGGUGAACCUGCUUCGGUGGGGGAUCAGUGGCGAACGGGUGAGUAACACGUGGGCAACCUGCCCUCAGCUCUGGGAUAACUCCAAGAAAUUGGGGCUAAUACCGGAUAUGACCGCUGACCGCAUGGUCUGGUGGUGGAAAGAUUUAUCGGCUGGGGAUGGGCCCGCGGCCUAUCAGCUUGUUGGUGGGGUAGUGGCCUACCAAGGCGACGACGGGUAGCCGGCCUGAGAGGGUGACCGGCCACACUGGGACUGAGACACGGCCCAGACUCCUACGGGAGGCAGCAGUGGGGAAUAUUGCGCAAUGGGCGAAAGCCUGACGCAGCGACGCCGCGUGGGGGAUGACGGCCUUCGGGUUGUAAACCUCUUUCAGCAGGGACGAAGCGGAAGUGACGGUACCUGCAGAAGAAGCACCGGCCAACUACGUGCCAGCAGCCGCGGUAAUACGUAGGGUGCAAGCGUUGUCCGGAAUUAUUGGGCGUAAAGAGCUCGUAGGCGGUUCGUCGCGUCGGCUGUGAAAUCCCGAGGCUCAACCUCGGGUCUGCAGUCGAUACGGGCGGACUUGAGUUCGGCAGGGGAGACUGGAAUUCCUGGUGUAGCGGUGAAAUGCGCGAUAUCAGGAGGAACACCGGUGGCGAAGGCGGGUCUCUGGGCCGAUACUGACGCUGAGGAGCGAAAGCGUGGGGAGCGAACAGGAUUAGAUACCCUAGUAGUCC